UACGUAGGGUGCAAGCGUUGUCCGGAAUUAUUGGGCGUAAAGAGCUCGUAGGCGGUUUGUCGCGUCGACUGUGAAAACCCGAGGCUUAACCUCGGGCCUGCAGUCGAUACGGGCAGACUAGAGUUCGGUAGGGGAGACGUGGAAUUCCUGGUGUAGCGGUGAAAUGACGCAGAGUAUCGGGAGGAACACCAGUGGCGAAGGCGGCGAUCUGGGAAGAUACUGACGCUGAGGUGCGAAAGCGUGGGGAGCAAACAGG
rnacentral:rRNA from 1 species